UAUUACAACGUUAACAGCUAAAACUGUAAUGCCAAUUACGUGAUUAAGACGGUUAGCGAUGCAUAAUAUCAUCAUGAUGUAAUAUAUGAAAAAAGAGAGAAAAAACGCUCGAGUUCAAAUAAACGGUAUCGUGAAGACUUUCAUGAAUCCAUGCUAUAGCGAGUUACUAAGGCACAAAUUAUGAUUUACUCGUCAUGUAUAUUCUUCUUUCGUCACAUACUCGAUCAAUAUCAGAGAGGUGGAAAGCGUUAUAAAAGCUGAUGUUUUUAUUAUUGUGUAUCUAGAAGUCUCGUCGGAACCUCACCGCGAAGUUUUAAUCGAGUAUCCAAGAAACCAACGACUCAUGAUGAAUCGAAGCUUAUUACUGUUCGCGGUAUUGCUAGUUCUACUAACCACCGACACAUCCUCUCAGAUGUUUU